rnacentral:tRNA from 1 species
GAAAAAGUACUGCAAGAACUGCUAAUUCAUNCUCCCAUGCAUAANAA